AGAUAGAUAGUUAAAAAUAUAUAGAUAAAUGAAUAGGUAUAGAUAGAUAUAGAUAGAUAAACUGGUAGAUAGAUAGCUAAAUAGAUGGAUGGAUAGAUAUAGAUAGUAAUUAAGUAGAUAUAGAUAUACAGAUAGAUGAAGAGAUAGAUAGAUAUAUACAUGCAUAUACGUACAUACAAACAAGCAUACACAUAAAUACAUACAUAUACAUACGUACAUACACAACAGUUACUAAACCCUUAAUUGCCCUGAUACUGUUAUAACCUGACAAUAAAAAGGUCAACAAUUAAGCAUAUUACAGAUAUAGGUAUAUGAAUUUAUUUAGGGAAUGGAGUUUUCCUUACAAAAUCUUCUUACGUAUAUAUUUCCCCAUGUUAACAAAUACAGCUUAACAAAAAAAAAAUUAUACUACCAGGAUGAAUGCACCUUAACUCCUUUGAAUUUCUAUGACUUAAACAGGUGUGAACAUUUUCUAAUUAGUUUUCAUUAAUUUUAUAUAAGCUCAACUAAAGAAAGGUACGUGUGAGCAUUACCAUUUUUUAAUUACCUCUCAUCAAUUUCAUACAUGUUAACUUAAUUCAGGUGUAAACAUUUCUUAAUUAGUGUUCAUCGAUCAGUUUUGUAUAUGUUUAAUUUAAGACAGGUGAGUUUUCUUAAUCAGUUUUCAUCAAGUUUCGUAUAUUUUCAAAAGAAUUAUAGACAGCAAAUGGAUUCUUCCGUAUAUGUUAAACUUCAGACAGGGAUGGGUGAGCUUUUCAGGAUCAUUCUUCAUCAAUUUUAUAUAUUUUGUAAAGAAUUAUAAACAAAAAAUGUAAUAUUCUUUAUGUCCGGUGUAAUUCGAUCGGGAAACAAUCAGGUCAAGAAUCAAUAUCUUACGGGUUCAGAAUCAAUGUCUUACGGGUCCAGAAUCAAUGUCUUACGGGUCCAGAAUCAAUGUUUUAUGGGUUCAGAAUCAAUGUCUUACGGGUCCAGAAUCAAUGUUUUAUGGGUUCAGAAUCAAUGUCUUACAGGUCCAGAAUCAAUGUCUUACGGGUCCAGAAUCAAUGUUUUAUGGGUUCAGAAUCAAUGUCUUACGGGUCCAGAAUCAAUGUUUUAUGGAUUCAGAAUCAAUGUCUUACAGGUCCAGAAUCAAUGUCUUACGGGUCCAGAAUCA